rnacentral:rRNA from 1 species
UGGGGAAUAUUGCACAAUGGGCGCAAGCCUGAUGCAGCGACGCCGCGUGAGGGAUGACGGCCUUCGGGUUGUAAACCUCUUUCGCCAGGGACGAAGCGCAAGUGACGGUACCUGGAUAAGAAGCACCGGCUAACUACGUGCCAGCAGCCGCGGUAAUACGAGGGGGGCAAGCGUUGUUCGGAAUUAUUGGGCGUAAAGAGCUCGUAGGCGGUUUGUCGCGUCUGCCGUGAAAGUCCGGGGCUCAACUCCGGAUCUGCGGUGGGUACGGGCAGACUAGAGUGAUGUAGGGGAGACUGGAAUUCCUGGUGUAGCGGUGAAAUGCGCAGAUAUCAGGAGGAACACCGAUGGCGAAGGCAGGUCUCUGGGCAUUAACUGACGCUGAGGAGCGAAAGCAUGGGGAGCGAAC